CCUACGGGUGGCAGCAGUGAGGAAUAUUGGUCAAUGGACGAGAGUCUGAACCAGCCAAGUAGCGUGAAGGAUGACUGCCCUAUGGGUUGUAAACUUCUUUUAUAUGGGAGUAAAAUGUUCCACGUGUGGGAUUUUGUAUGUACCAUAUGAAUAAGGAUCGGCUAACUCCGUGCCAGCAGCCGCGGUAAUACGGAGGAUCCGAGCGUUAUCCGGAUUUAUUGGGUUUAAAGGGAGCGUAGGUGGAUUGUUAAGUCAGUUGUGAAAGUUUGCGGCUCAACCGUAAAAUUGCAGUUGAAACUGGCAGUCUUGAGUACAGUAGCGGUGGGCGGAAUGCGUGGUGUAGCGGUGAAAUGCUUAGAGAUCAUGAAGAACUCCGAUUGCGAAGGCAGCUUACUGGACUGCAACUGACACUGAGGCUCGAAAGUGUGGGUAUCAAACAGGAUUAGAUACCCGGGUAGUC
rnacentral:rRNA from 1 species